CCUACGGGAGGCAGCAGUGGGGAAUAUUGGACAAUGGGCGCAAGCCUGAUCCAGCAAUGCCGCGUGAGUGAAGAAGGUCUUCGGAUUGUAAAGCUCUUUUGGCGGGGACGAUGAUGACGGUACCCGCAGAAUAAGCCCCGGCUAACUUCGUGCCAGCAGCCGCGGUAA
rnacentral:rRNA from 1 species